rnacentral:rRNA from 1 species
UAAUACGUAGGUGGCAAGCGUUGUCCGGAUUUACUGGGCGUAAAGAGCGCGCAGGCGGUCGAAUAAGUCGAAUGUGAAAGCCCCCGGCUCAACUGGGGAGGGUCAUUCGAUACUGUUCGACUUGAAGGCAGGAGAGAGAAGCAGAAUUCCCGGUGUAGUGGUGAAAUGCGUAGAUAUCGGGAGGAAUACCAGUGGCGAAGGCGGCUUCUUGGCCUGUUCUUGACGCUGAGGCGCGAAAGCUGGGGGAGCAAACGGGAUUAGAUACCCCGGUAGUCCCAGCCGUAAACGAUGGACACUAGGUGUUGGUGGUAUCAACCCCGCCAGUGCCGUAGCUAACGCAUUAAGUGUCCCGCCUGGGGAGUACGGCCGCAAGGCUA